rnacentral:rRNA from 1 species
GACGAACGCUGGCGGCGUGCCUAAUACAUGCAAGUAGAACGCACAGUUUAUACCGUAGCUUGCUACACCAUAGACUGUGAGUUGCGAACGGGUGAGUAACGCGUAGGUAACCUGCCUGGUAGCGGGGGAUAACUAUUGGAAACGAUAGCUAAUACCGCAUAAUAUUGAUUAUUGCAUGAUAAUUAAUUGAAAGGUGCAAUUGCACCACUACCAGAUGGACCUGCGUUGUAUUAGCUAGUAGGUGAGGUAACGGCUCAACUAGGCGACGAUACAUAGCCGACCUGAGAGGGUGAUCGACCAAACUGGGACUGAGACACGGCCCAGACUCCUAAGGGAGGCAGCAGUAGGGAAUCUUCGGCAAUGGACGAAAGUCUGACCGAGCAACGCCGCGGGAGUGAAGAAGGUUUUCGGAUCGUAAAGCUCCGUUGUAAGAGAAGAACGGGUGUGAGAGUGGAAAGUUCACACUGUGACGGUAUCUUACCAGAAAGGGACGGCUAACUACGUG